CAGAACUUUCCCUGCGAAUUUGUUGUCUCGUCACGCUGUCGGGAACUAUCAUGUGCGGGUUAUCUGCUUUUCGUUAUUCCCGUCACCACGCCGGUGAUAUGUUAUCGUUAUCUGUGAUUGCACGUGCCGCUCUUCGAAGUGUUACUGGGCGCGAGGAUUCUUUUCCUUAAAAGGGGACCACCGUAGGAUUUUGGGGCACUCCGACUCCGAGCAUUGGGCAUUGCGGCAGUGUGUUCGGUAAGGCUUUGUACGUGGUGAGACGAGAUCGACUAGGCGCUCUAGGCGCGGCCCGGCUGGCCCCCCUCACCAGCGGACCGGAUCUUCCGGUGGCAGCUCGCGCCACUAUGCAACUUCGGCGAACGCGCAUCCCAGAGAUGACUUCCCUCCUAGGCCUCGUCACCGUUCUGUUGCAACGUGGACCAUUGUACAUUCCGGACAACCAGUCCCAUGGGCCUCGCGCUCAAGAUGGGCGUCGCAACCCCGGCCUCUGCGUGGCGCCGACCCGUCUUCCGUACCGCAACCAUUUCGAGGUGUAACCAUUGAGGAUCGUCACCCAGCGGAUCCUUUGCUGCCCUAUACAGAGGAAGAAAGACAAGCCUUGUGUCCCAGCUGCGGCGUUCCCAUCAUCCAUCGGGCCACCCAUCUGAGAGGACCCCUCCACCGCGUCCGAAUGGAACUAACCCAGACCAUGAGAGCUCGAGCCACACGGGUCACGGAGUCUGACCUGAGCGCCGCCAUUUCCAUGAUCCAACGUCAUCGGCCGGAGCUCCUGUUGCCCACCGAACCGCGACCUCAGCAACCACGAGCACUGGACACCGACUUGAUCGAUCUUCUCGAGGAAGACAUGCCAGAGAACUGAGUGUGUGCUUCGACUGCUUCAGGAACGGCCUACUUUCGUGCCCGUGGAUGCGGCAUGUUUUUCGUUUUUUGUGAGUCCAAUUUGGAGAAGGGGGGAUGUGGGAAACAGAACUUUCCCUGCGAAUUUGUUGUCUCGUCACGCUGUCGGGAACUAUCAUGUGCGGGUUAUCUGCUUUUCGUUAUCCCGUCACCACGCCGGUGAUAUGUUAUCGUUAUCUGUGAUUGCACGUGCCGCUCUUCGAAGUGUUACUGGGCGCGAGGAUUCUUUUCCUUAAAAGGGGACCACCGUAGGAUUUUGGGGCACUCCGACUCCGAGCAUUGGGCAUUGCGGCAGUGUGUUCGGUAAGGCUUUGUACGUGGUGAGGUAUGUCAUUAAACGUUUGAUUGCA